ACUGUUUGAUGAUGGCUCAGGAUGAAUGCUGGCGGUGUGCCUAAGGCAUGCAAGUCGAACGGAAAUCUUACUUCGGUAAGAAACUAGUGGCAGACGGGUGAGUAAUGAAUAGGAACUUACCCUCAAGUGGGGGAUAGCUCAGCGAAAGUUGGGGUAAUACCGCAUGUGAUCGCAAGAUCAAAGCCUUCGGGCGCUUGGGGAGAGGCCUAUUUCCUAUCAGGUUGUUGGUGAGGUAAUGGCUCACCAAGCCUAUGACGGGUAGCCGGUGUGAGAGCACGACCGGCCACAAGGUUACUGAGACACGGAACCUACACCUACGGGUGGCAGCAACUAGGAAUAUUGCGCAAUGGACGAAAGUCUGACGCAGCGACACCGCGUGUGGGAAGAAGCUUUUCGGAGUGUAAACCACUGUGGCAGGGGAACAAAAAAAUGAGGGUACCCUGCUAGAAAGCACCUGCUAACUACGUGCCAGAAGCCUCGGUAAUACGUAGGGUGCAAGCAUUAUCCGGAUUUAUUGGGCGUAAAGCGUCCGUCGGCGACUUAUUAAGUCUUUAGUUUAAGCCCAAGGCUCAA
rnacentral:rRNA from 1 species